rnacentral:lncRNA from 1 species
CCCAAGCUCCCUUAUUAACCAAAGGGUGUGUACAGGCUCAUUUCCGGUGACUGUCAUUUAAUGCAAGGUGGGAAAACAGUGAGGAGAAACAAUGCCAGGCAGCUCGGUGAAGACGCCAGCAUUGGAAGUCCAGGUCUGUUGCUGGGAAUUCAUGGGGAACAAAAUAUCCAGGGGACGUCGAGAUUCACCCAUGGACCAAGUGCUGGAUUCACAGUUGGUGUCCCUCAGGGAAAUUACAAGUAAUGCAGGCUGGAUAGUUCUUGUCCAAACUGCUUCAGAAGAAAGCAUGUUGGGCUGGUGAGAUGGCUCAGCGGGUAAGAGCACCGACUGUUCUUCCGCAGGUCCUGAGUUCAAAUCCCACAUGGUGGCUCACAACCACCCGUAAUGAGAUCUGACACCCUCUUCUGGUGCAUCUGAAGACAGCUACAGUGUACUUAUUUAUAAUAAUAA